rnacentral:rRNA from 1 species
CACAGGUGGGUGAGGCGAGCAGCCUCAGGUGAACGAGUGAAACGUGGUCAAGGAACUCGGCAUAAUGAUCCCGUAACUUCGGAAGAAGGGAUGCCAGAGACGGUGUAGGGAACACCGAAGCUGUUUCUGGUCGCAGCGAAUCGGCCCAAGCGACUGUUUAGCAAAAACACAGGUGUGUGCCAAGCCGCACAAGGCGCCGUAUACACACUGACGCCUGCCCGGUGCCGGAAGGUUAAGGGGAGAGGUUAGCCGCAAGGCGAAGCUUUGAGCCGAAGCCCCGGUAAACGGCGGCCGUAACAAUAACGGUCCUAAGGUAGCGAAAUUCCUUGUCGGGUAAGUUCCGACCUGCACGAAUGGCGUAACGACUUGGGCACUGUCUCGACCACGUGCUCGGCGAAAUUGCAGUCUCGGUGAGGAUUCCGAGUCCCCGCGACAGGACAAAAAGACCCCAUGCACCUUUACUGUAGCUUGUCAUUGGUCGUUGCACAUCGCUGUGUAGCAUAGGUGGGAGUCGAUGAGCCCGGGGCGCUAGCUCCGGGGGAGACAUCAGUGAAAUACCACCCUGCGUCGUGCGACGCCCUCACCACGGCGGGAACACCCCGUCUGGGACCGUGGCAGGUGGGCAGUUUGACUGGGGCGGUCGCCUCCGAAACAGUAACGGAGGCGCGCGCAAGGUUGGCUCAGCGCGGACGGUACUCGCGCUUCUAGAGUGUAACGGCAGAAGCCAGCCUGACGGUGAGAUCGACGGAUCGAGCCGCCACGAAAGUGGGCCGUAGUGAUCCGGUAGCCCGGGGUGGAGCGGCUAUCGCGCAACGGAUAAAAGGUACGCUGGGGAUAACAGGCUUAUCGCGCCCGAGAGUUCACAUCGACGGCGCGGUUUGGCACCUCGAUGUCGGCUUAUCACAUCCUGGGGCUGGAGAAGGUCCCAAGGGUCCGGCUGUUCGCCGGUUAAAGUGGUACAUGAGCUGGGUUCAGAACGUCGUGAGACAGUUCGGUCUGUAUCCGUCGUGGGCGUUGGAGAGUUGGGGGGAGCGGACUCUAGUACGAGAGGACCGAGUCGGACGACCCGCUCGUGUCCCGGUUGUCCUGCCAAGGGCACCGCCGGGUAGCGAUGGUUGGCUGUGAUAACCGCUGAAAGCAUCUAAGUGGGAAGCACGCCCCAAGAUGAACUCUCCCGAGGCCUUGAGCCUCUUGAAGGGCCGGGGAAGACCACCCCGUCGAUAGGCCGCCCGUGGACGUCCCGCAAGGGAUUCCAAGCGCAGCGGUCCUAAUCGCCCGUACGGCUUGACUAC